rnacentral:rRNA from 1 species
AGUGAACGCUGGCGGCGUGCCUAACACAUGCAAGUCGAACGAGAACGGAACUAGCUUGCUAGUUUGUCAGCUAAGUGGCGCACGGGUGAGUAAUAUAUAGUUAAUCUGCCCCAAAGAAGAGAAUAAUUGUUGGAAACGACUUGUAACGCUCUAUAUGCCUUUAUUACAUAAGUAAGCAAGGGAAACAUUUAUGGCUUUGGGAUGAGACUGUACGGUAUCAGCUAGUUGGUGAGGUAAUGGCUCACCAAGGCUAUGACAUCUAACUGGUUUGAGAGGAUGAUCAGUCACACUGGAACUGAGACACGGUCCAGACUCCUACGGGAGGCAGCAGUGGGGAAUAUUGCACAAUGGAGGAAACUCUGAUGCAGCAACGCCGCGUGGAGGAUGACACAUUUCGGUGCGUAAACUCCUUUUAUUAGGGAAGAUAAUGACGGUACCUAAUGAAUAAGCACCGGCUAACUCCGUGCCAGCAGCCGCGGUAAUACGGGGGGUGCAAGCGUUACUCGGAAUCACUGGGCGUAAAGAGCAUGUAGGCUGGUUUGUAAGUUGGAAGUGAAAUCCUAUGGCUUAACCAUAGAACUGCUUCCAAAACUGCUUACCUAGAGUAUGGGAGAGGUAGAUGGAAUUUCUGGUGUAGGGGUAAAAUCCGUAGAGAUCAGAAGGAACACCGAUUGCGAAGGCGAUCUACUGGAACAUUACUGACGCUGAGAUGCGAAAGCGUGGGGAGCAAACAGGAUUAGAUACCCUGGUAGUCCACGCCCUAAACGAUGCACACUAGUUGUUGCUAUGCUAGACAUAGCAGUAAUGCAGUUAACACAGUAAGUGUGCCGCCUGGGGAGUACGGUCGCAAGAUUAAAACUCAAAGGAAUAGACGG